rnacentral:rRNA from 1 species
CGGGGUGCAGCAGGCGCGAAAACUUUACAAUGCGGGAAACCGUGAUAAGGGGACACCGAGUGCCAGCAUCAUAUGCUGGCUGUCCGGGUGUGUAAAAUACACCCGUUAGCAAGGGCCGGGCAAGACCGGUGCCAGCCGCCGCGGUAACACCGGCGGCCCGAGUGGUGAUCGUGAUUAUUGGGUCUAAAGGGUCCGUAGCCGGUUUGGUCAGUCCUCCGGGAAAUCUGACGGCUCAACCGUUAGGCUUUCGGGGGAUACUGCCAGGCUUGGAACCGGGAGAGGUAAGAGGUACUACAGGGGUAGGAGUGAAAUCUUGUAAUCCCUGUGAGACCACCUGUGGCGAAGGCGUCUUACCAGAACGGGUUCGACGGUGAGGGACGAAAGCUGGGGGCACGAACCGGAUUAGAUACCCGGGUAGUCCCAGCCGUAAACGAUGCUCGCUAGGUGUCAGGCAUGGCGCGACCGUGUCUGGUGCCGCAGGGAAGCCGUGAAGCGAGCCACCUGGGAAGUACGGCCGCAAGGUUGAAACUUAAAGGAAUUGGCGGGGGAGCACAAGGGCGAUUCGCG